rnacentral:rRNA from 1 species
CAUGCAAGUCGAACGAAGUUUUUCCUUCGGGAGAAACUUAGUGGCGGACGGGUGAGUAACGCGUGGGUAACCUGCCCUGUACAGGGGGACAACAGCUGGAAACGGCUGCUAAUACCGCAUAAGCCCUUAGCACUGCAUGGUGCAUAGGGAAAAGGAGCAAUCCGGUACAGGAUGGACCCGCGUCUGAUUAGCCAGUUGGCAGGGUAACGGCCUACCAAAGCGACGAUCAGUAGCCGAUCUGAGAGGAUGUACGGCCACAUUGGGACUGAGACACGGCCCAGACUCCUACGGGAGGCAGCAGUGGGGAAUAUUGCACAAUGGAGGAAACUCUGAUGCAGCGACGCCGCGUGAGUGAAGAAGUAUUUCGGUAUGUAAAGCUCUAUCAGCAGGGAAGAAAAUGACGGUACCUGACUAAGAAGCACCGGCUAAAUACGUGCCAGCAGCCGCGGUAAUACGUAUGGUGCAAGCGUUAUCCGGAUUUACUGGGUGUAAAGGGAGCGUAGGUGGCAAGGCAAGCCAGAAGUGAAAACCCGGGGCUC